CUGCGCGAGGACCAGUUCCACAUCAGUGUCAUCAGGGGCGGCCUCAGUAACAUGCUGUUCGAGUGCUCCCUGCCGGAGACCACGGCCACGGUCGGCGACGAGCCCCGGAAGGUGCUUCUGAGGCUGUACGGGGCGAUCCUGCAGAUGUUAUAGGAUCUCCCAAAUGUCUACUUUUUGUAUUUGUGUCAUGAAUUGCCACUUCACUGACCAUACAGAAAUGUG
rnacentral:lncRNA from 1 species